GUGCUGGAAACACUUAGCAGGUCGGGCAGCGUCGGUGGGCUAACGAUUCGUAAAUUACCCUUUUAUAUGCACGUUUGCAGCAUUUUCCAUUUGGACCAACUUGGAAGAUGAUCUUUGCAUUUGAAUGAAUAACAUUUUAAGUAAAAUCCGAUCUGUAAAUGGCCUAUUUGUUUAUCUAUUUGUUUAUUUAUGCCACUAAACAUACUCGGCGGUUCCCGGCCAAUUCACACCAAGCAGGGAGACACAACAAAGUCAAGCCUGGUGUCGCCACAGCCCGUUCACGGGGACCGGACGGCUUGAAUGUUGUGCAUGAGCGGGGCCCCGGAACACGGAUUGUGUUGAUAUUCCCGACGGCCCGACCAGAGAGGGUGCAACACUGGACGUCCUCUCCAGGAAAGAGCUGCUGCAAGUGACUGAAAGGUCAGUGGGGUAGGGUGGCUCCAGUGACCAUAAUACUAUUGUUUCAAUAUCGUUAUGAAAGAUAGGACUGGUCCACAAGCAGAUGAACUCCAGAUAUGGAUGGGUACGUACAACUUGGGCAUUGUAGCCAUAGAAACAUACAGCACGGAAACAGGCCCUCCGGUCCAACUUGUCCAUGCCAACCAACACUGGUACCACCUGUCUGCGUUUGGCUCAUAUCCCUCGAUCAUAUCCAUGUAUCUAAAUGCUUCUUAAAUGUUACAAUAGUAUCUGCCUCAACUACCUCCGCCAGCAGCACACCGAGUCCUGGCAACAUCCCUGUAAAUCUUCUCUGCACCCUUUCGAACUGGACAACAUCUUUCCAAUAACAUGGUGACCAAAAUUGAACACAAUACUCUAAAUGUGGCCUCACCAACAUCUUAUACAAGUGCAACAUGACCUCCCAACUUCUGUACUCAAUACUCUGACCGAUGAAGGCCAACGUGCCAGAAGACUUUUUGACCACCUGUGACACCAGUUUCAAGGAACUAUGUACCUGCACUCCUAGAUCCCUCUGGUCUAUAACACUCCCCAGAGCCCCACCGUUCAUUGUGUAGGUCCUGCCUAGGUUCGACUUUCCAAAAAAUCACAUUUCUCUGUAUUAAGUUCUAUCAACCAUUCCUCAGUCCACCUGCCCAACUGAUCAAGAUCCUGCUGCAAUCUUUGACAAUCUUCACUAUCUACAAUAUCAUCUACUUUUGCAUUAUCUGCAAACUUGCUAAUCAAGCCAAGUUUGUUCUUGUCCAAGUAGUCAAUCCAUCUUAUUCCAUAGCCGUUAUGCAAACCUGGCCUAGAGAGGCACAUGACUGACAGCAUAACCUUUCAGGGUCAGGUGCUACUUGCGUGAAAUGGAGGCAGGGGUAAAAGAGGACGGGGUGUUGCUUUAUUGAUUAAGGAGAAUGUCACAACCAUUGUCCAACAUGUCAAUAUUGAUGGUAUGUCUAGUGAGGCUAUAUGGGUGGAGCUGAGAAUAAGAUAGGAUGAUCACCUUAUUGGGAGUGUACUGUAGGCCCCCAAAUUGGCAAUGGAAAUUAGAAGAAUAAAUAUGCUGGGAGUUUGCAGGCAGCUGCAAGACUAAUAGGGUUAUCGUAGUAGGAGAUUUGAACUUUCCUAAUAUAAACUGGGACUGUCAUAGUGCCAACAGCUUGGAAGGGGUGAAAUUAAUCAAAUGUACUCAAGAACCUUUCCUCAGGCAAUAUCAAUCUCAAGGGAGGGGGCAAAGUUUGAUCUAUUCUAAAGAAAUUGGGACAGGACUGAAGUGAGCAAGCCUUUUGGGACCAGUGAUCACAGUUUAAUCAGCUUUAAAAUUGUUAUGUAUAAAGACACGUGGGCCCG